rnacentral:ncRNA from 1 species
CCUAUGGAGUGUACAAGAACCUGUAAGUAGAUAUUGUAGAAAUACAAAUUGAAAGCAUACACAAUGAAGUAGGAA